rnacentral:rRNA from 1 species
GACGAACGCUGGCGGCGUGCCUAAUACAUGCAAGUAGAACGCUGAAGGAGGAGCUUGCUUCUCUGGAUGAGUUGCGAACGGGUGAGUAACGCGUAGGUAACCUGCCUGGUAGCGGGGGAUAACUAUUGGAAACGAUAGCUAAUACUGCAUAAUAGUAGAUGUUGCAUGACAUUUGCUUAAAAGGUGCAAUUGCAUCACUACCAGAUGGACCUGCGUUGUAUUAGCUAGUUGGUGGGGUAACGGCUCACCAAGGCGACGAUACAUAGCCGACCUGAGAGGGUGAUCGGCCACACUGGGACUGAGACACGGCCCAGACUCCUACGGGAGGCAGCAGUAGGGAAUCUUCGGCAAUAGACGGAAGUCUGACCGAGCAACGCCGCGUGAGUGAAGAAGGUUUUCGGAUCGUAAAGCUCUGUUGUAAGAGAAGAACGAGUGUGAGAGUGGAAAGUUCACACUGUGACGGUAUCUUACCAGAAAGGGACGGCUAACUACGUG